CCGAAAAGCCACUCGAAAGAGUGUGGUGUCCUUAGAGGCUAGUCAGUACGCUGGCAACACAAUCAAAUUGCGGGAAACUCCUUAGAGCUCAAGCUACCGCUGCUGCCCAGAGAUGGGUUGUGGCACCAGGUUAACGACCUCGGGUAUGGUAACAACGCUUGAGAUUGGACAAUCCGCAGCCAAGCUCCCUCACGGGAAGAAGGUUCAGAGACUAGAUGGUUGUGGGUUGAACACACGUUUAUUGAAACAUGUUCGGCUUAAGAUAUAGUCCAAUCCAGUGUGGAAACGCACUG
rfam:Protomyces lactucaedebilis strain 12-1054 BCR37scaffold_36, whole genome shotgun sequence.